rnacentral:tRNA from 13 species
GCCUCUGUAGCUCAAUGGAAGAGCAGUUCCGUCCUAAGGAAAGGGUUGGGGGUUCGAGUCCCUCCAGGGGCACCG